AGGAAACUAAGGAGUGGCCUUUCGGGGAGCCCGGAGACAGGUGCUGCAUGGCUGUCGUCAGCUCGGUGUCGUGAGAUGUUCGGUUAAGUCCGCUAACGAGCGCAACCCUCGUCGUAUGUUAUAUGUGUCAUACGAGACUGCCGGUAAAAGCCGGAGGAAGGUGAGGAUGAUGUCAAGUCAGCAUGACCUUUAUAUCCAGGGCUACACACACGCUACAAUGGUCUGUACAAUGGGUAGCCAAGCCGCGAGGCGGAGCCAAUCCUGAAAGCAGGCCUCAGUUCAGAUUGCAGUCUGCAACUCGACUGCAUGAAGCCGGAGUUGCUAGUAACCGCAGGUCAGCAAUACUGCGGUGAAUACGUUCCCGGGUCUU
rnacentral:rRNA from 1 species